ACAGAAUGUCCAUGAUUCAAGAUAUAUAAAACUGACGGAAGAAGUCCCAUCAAACGCCCACUAAAAUUAUGGUAAAAUAGAUUGCAACCCACAUAACAGGAAAGAAUUGAAUGUAUACUACGUCGGACAUUAGAGAUAAAUCUCACAGAACAUGAGAUAUGAUGGGGAGGAUUGUCUAAUUUGUACCACCGCACCGUGUACAAACUUUGCUCAGUAAUCCACGAAGUUCAGACGCUUGGAACGUAGUACCACAAGCAGAUAUCGGCCAAUUCUUCCUGACGAUACCCAGAUCACAAAAAGCAUCAGUAUUCUGUCACGGAAGCUGCGUGAAUAAUAUAAAAAGAUUUUGGGAUAUACCAGAAACUGCCGGAAACUGAGGAUCAUCAAUCAUCGUGACAUAAAAAUUAUAAGAUACCUACUUAUAUAACAGUUUCAUCGGUUUCUUAUUCUCAGUAAAAGCACCAUCAAAAAGAAUAA